rnacentral:rRNA from 1 species
UGGCGCGACGGGUGCGUAACGCGUGGGAACCUGCCUUUAGGUUCGGAAUAACUCAGAGAAAUUUGAGCUAAUACCGGAUAAUGUCUUCGGACCAAAGAUUUAUCGCCUAAGGAUGAGCCCGCGUAAGAUUAGCUUGUUGGUGAGGUAAAAGCUCACCAAGGCGACGAUCUUUAGCUGGUCUGAGAGGAUGAUCAGCCACACUGGGACUGAGACACGGCCCAGACUCCUACGGGAGGCAGCAGGUGGGGAAUAUUGGACAAUGGGCGCAAGCCUGAUCCAGCAAUGCCGCGUGCAGGAUGAAGGCCUUCGGGUUGUAAACUGCUUUGUACGGAACGAAACGGUGAGCUCUAAUACAGUUUGCUAAUGACGGUACCGUAAGAAUAAGCACCGGCUAACUACGUG